GGGUGAGUCUGGUUGAUGGAGCCAUGAUAGGGUAGAUGGCUGGAUGUCUGGAGCAGACAGUAUUGACAACAAAUGAGCAGGUAGUUUAUACAGUGUGGACAUGCUGGACAAAGGGAUGAUUCACAUCCCGGGCAGGACAGACCAGCUGAAGAGUAUGUAACUUUGGGACUUCAUCUUUUUAAAAAGAAGACACUGAUGAUGAAAUAGCAUGAUGAAUGAAGAACUAUGAAACACAUACCAUAAGAAAAGAACAAUAAAGAUGUAACAAGCAUGAUAAACAUGAGCUACGAAACACAGCCUUAUGAAACUAACAGCUUCCGCUACCUGUAUCUUAGAACAAUCACUCUUGAAAACCAGCCACCAUGCUGUGAGGAAGACCAAAGAAUCCCAUGGGGAAGCCCACAUACAGAAGAACUGGAAGUUCCAGACUGAAGACCUGCUGUGUUCCCAAACAGUCAGUACCAAUUUGCAUUUUAAGAGAGUGAGCUAUCAUAUAAAUGACUUCUCUGGAUCCAGAAAAGCCUAGUACUUGACCUACAAAAUCAUGAGCAAAAUAAAAUUGCUCUUUUAAGACA